CUCAUGUUAGAGUUAGGUUAGCUACCCUUAGCCAAUUAAUUGGAACUGGAAUUAGGAACCUCUUCACAUCUUAAAUUGAGUGUUUAAAGGAUGAAAUAGAAGCCUUGCGAUGGACAAAACUGUUCCGUUCAAAUCCCAGAUGUUGUGGAAGAGAGGCUCUGACCAUUGACGUUGGCUAUGUGGAUUUCCAUGGCUUUGGUGGCUGUGUCGUCGGUCGUGGACAGUGCGUUGUGUACAGGCGUGAAGACCUCCAGCACUCCUUUAGUCAGACUGGGCUCAAACAUCAUACUGCGGCUCCUCACGCUCACAUUCUCACAGCCUGGAUACAAGACUAAUCAGGACAGCAGUUCAGUGAGCUGUACGUAGCUAUAGCCGUACCUGCAGGUUUGGAGGUAGCUGGAGAAGCCGGGUGUCUGACAGGGUUGGUGAGUCUGGGCCUCCUACGC